GACGAACGCUGGCGGCGUGCUUAACACAUGCAAGUCGAGCGGUAAGGCCCUUUCGGGGGUACACGAGCGGCGAACGGGUGAGUAACACGUGGGUGACCUGCCCUCAGCUCUGGGAUAAGCCUGGGAAACUGGGUCUAAUACCGGAUAUGACCCCAUGACGCAUGUCGUGGGGUGGAAAGCCUUGUGCGGCUGAGGAUGGGCCCGCGGCCUAUCAGCUUGUUGGUGGGGUGAUGGCCUACCAAGGCGACGACGGGUAGCCGGCCUGAGAGGGCGACCGGCCACACUGGGACUGAGACACGGCCCAGACUCCUACGGGAGGCAGCAGUGGGGAAUCUUGCGCAAUGGGCGAAAGCCUGACGCAGCGACGCCGCGUGAGGGAUGACGGCCUGUGU
rnacentral:rRNA from 1 species